rnacentral:lncRNA from 1 species
GAACCUGCGCUUCAACAACGGAGCUAAAUGAAUUCAGGGGGAGAUACCCCUCCCCCAAGCCGCACUCUAAAAAUUUUGGCUGAAUGUCUAAAGAAGCUAUGAGCACCCGGAGGCCUUUAAGGAAAACAGUCCACUGGCUGCACACAGCUGCAGCUGGGGGCAGGGAGGGGGAGGUGCUGGAGAGACCAAACAGACCUGAUCGGCAGGGUGAAUCAUGUCAGGACUUUGCACUGGACCCGCAGCCUGGAAGCCAAGAAGAACAGACACACAAAACAUCCCCGUGGCUGGGAGGUACCUUUCUGAAAGAGGCAGGAGAUAGAUAUUUGCUCUUACCAGAUUCCUCUCCAUCAGGAUUUUUUUCUCAACUUCAUUGCAAGAUGGAGUAAAAAAAAAAAAAAAAAAAAAGUCUGAUAAAGAAAAACCAGGGAUAGAAAACACCCCAUAAAACGUACCCCCAAAGGGAAGGUGCAAAACCCAUUUGAUCCAAUGUAUAGAUAUCUCCACCCUGGAUUUUCUUUUUUUUCUUUUUUCUUUUUUUUUUUUUUACCUUUGCUUUACAACUCUGCAGACAUCAGGUUAGCAAAAGGUAAUAAAUAGUCCUUGCACAGCA